rnacentral:rRNA from 1 species
AUGUUCAAUGUUGUAGAUGAUAACGAGGAUAUCCAAGAUGAGGAUUUUGGUGACAAUGAGGUCAAUGCAACACAAUCCAGGAAAUUUGUUAGUGCAAGGGAGUACUACUGCUUCAAGCUACAGGUCAGGAAGAAGCUUUUUAACAUCAUCUUGUUUGGUGGGCGCCUUUUCCAACAGUGGGCGGUUGAUAUGUAUAUCAAGAUUGAGACUAUGAGGCUGGACUGGUACUCAAAGCCAGAAAAUCAAAAAGUUAUACGAGCUGAUCUCUACCAGGGUCUUGUUGACACCAUCGUUGCCGGCGAGUCACGCGGUGAUCGAAUUGGCAAGAGAAUCGUGCUUCCACGUACGUUUCCUGGUGGUGAUCGCGACAUGCAGCGGAGGUUGCUGGAUGCGAUGGCAAUAGUCCAACAGUGGGGUAAACCGGAUUAUUUUAUCACGAUGACUUGCAAUCCCUAUUGGGAGGAGAUAACCCAUAAUCUGAUGCCUGGACAACUGCCACAAGACCGUCCAGACCUUGUGGCAAGAGUAUACAAGGCUAAACAACGAGAUAUGAUGGACUUGCUAACUAAGGGUAAGCAUUUCGGAGAAGUCCCAGCUUAUGUACAUGUCACGGAGUUUCAGAAACGAGGCCUUCCUCAUGAGCAUAUACUUUUAAUCAUGAAAACAAAAAGCAAGUUAGCAUCCCCAGAUGACUAUGAUCGGGUGAUAUCCGCAGAGAUACCUGACAAAGAGAAACACCCCGUUCUGCAUGACCUGGUCGUCAAACACAUGCUGCACGGACCCUGUGGUGAGUUGAAAAAGAGUUGUCCUUGCAUGAUUGAGGGACAGUGUAGGUUUCAUUAUCCGCGAGAUUUUUGUGAUGCCACACAACAAGGGAAAGACUCUUAUCCCAUCUAUCGGAGGAGGGAUGAUGGGCGUGGAGUUAGGAUCAGAGGAGCGAAUUUGGACAAUAGAUGGGUGGUCCCUUACAACCCUUCUUUGCUUAUGCGAUAUAACUGCCACAUUAAUGUGGAAGCAUGCUCGAGCAUCAAGGCAGUCAAGUAUUUGUUCAAGUACAUCUAUAAAGGCCACGAUCGGACGUCCUUUGCAUUCGAGCAGGACAUAAUCAAUGAUGGUGGAAUCAUCAAUGAAAUCCGACAAUAUAGGGAUGCACGCUACGUAUCUCCUCCAGAGGCUAUUUACAUGAUUUUUGGUUUCAAAAUGUUUGGUGUCAGUCCAUCAGUGCUGCAGCUCCAGCUUCAUUUGCCGAACAUGCAUACAAUUGCAUUUAAAGCUGGUGAAAAUCUUGAAGAUGUUGUCGCUCGACCAUCUUCAUCCAGGUCCAUGCUUACCGAGUACUUUGAGAUGAACCGGAGGAAUCCGCAAGCACAGAAAUUGUUGUACAGAGAGUUUCCAGAGCAUUAUAGAUGGAUAGCUGGAAAAAAGAAGUGGCAGAAGAGAAGAAAUAACAGAUCACAGAUUGGAAGACUUGUGUAUGCACACCCUGCUGAAGGAGAGAGGUACUACUUGCGUGUGCUGCUAAGUCAUGUUCAAGGUGCCACUUCUUUUGAUCAUUUAAAAACAGUAAAUGGCAACCUAUGCACUUCCUUUAGAGAGGCAUGUGAGCACUUAGGCCUCAUUGAGCACGACAAGACUCUUGAUGAUUGCAUGACAGAGGCAGCCACAUUUCAGAUGCCUUCUGCCCUAAGACGGUUGUUUGCAACUAUAUUGGUAUUUUGCGAGGCAACGGAAAUACGACAAUUGUGGGAUAAACAUCUACCAUCAAUGUGUGAGGACUACAGUCGUAAUGAAUCCAAUGAGCCGGUACUUGAGCAGAUGGUCCUUCGAGAUAUUACGGAUAUGUUGCAAUCCAUGGGAAAGGAUAUUAAGAGCUAUGGACUUCCGGAUCUGGUUGAGACCGAUGGUUCUUAUGACAGUGAGUACAAAGAGGUAACAGAGGAGAGGCAAAUCACCACGGACACAGAACAUCUAGAUCUAUUUAGCAGUUUGAACAAUGAGCAGCUAGCUGGUUUCAAUGACAUAAUGGAUCAUGUGAUGAACAAAAAAAGCCAGAUAUUCUUUGUUGAUGGUCCAGGAGGAACUGGGAAGACGUACUUGUACAAGGCAUUGCUAGCAAAGCUGCGUUCCAUGGGCGAAAUCGCGAUCGCAACUGCUACAUCUGGUAUUGCAGCGUCGAUAAUGCCUGGAGGACGCACAGCACACUCCCGGUUCAAAAUUCCAAUCAAGCUCACUGACAACAGUAUGUGCGGUUUCACAAAACAGAGUGGUACAGCGGAUCUUAGACAUGCGUCCCUGAUAAUUUGGGACGAAGUCGCUAUGACAAAACGACAAGCAGUUGAGACGCUUGAUAGAUCACUACAGGAUAUAAUGGAAUGUUCUUUGCCGUUUGGAGGAAAGGUUGUUGUAUUUGGUGGUGAUUUCAGGCAGGUCCUACCCGUUGUGACACGUGGGACAAGAGCACAAAUAACGGAUGCUACACUUCUGAGAUCCUAUCUUUGGGAGAAGACCCGCAAGAUACGUCUCACGCGCAAUAUGCGGGCACAGGCUGAUCCUUGGUUCUCAGAAUACCUACUAAGGAUAGGCAAUGGAACUGAAGAGACAAUUGGCGACGAUUAUGUCCGUCUCCCUGAGGACAUUGUCAUUGGCUAUACCGAGGAUGAAAAAGCUAUUAACAUGCUCAUCGAAAAUGCCUUCCCAUCUUUGCAGGCCAAUGCUAGAUCGAGAGAGUACAUGAGUGCACGUGCUAUUCUUUCAACCAAGAACGAUCAUGUCGAUGACCUGAAUGACAAAAUGAUCUCCAGGUUUCCAGGCGAAGAAAAGUUAUACCAUAGUUUUGACUCAAUUGAGGAUGACUUGCAGAAUAAUUACACAAUUGAUUUUUUGAACUCAAUCACACCAAAUGGCUUGCCCCCGCAUGUUUUGAAAUUAAAGGUCAACUGUCCAGUCAUUCUGCUCCAGAACCUCGACCUCAUAAUGGUCUAUGCAAUGGAACAUGGCUUAUGA